rnacentral:rRNA from 1 species
GACGAACGCUGGCGGCGUGCCUAAUACAUGCAAGUCGAGCGAAGUUUUUCUGGUGCUUGCACCGGAAAAACUUAGCGGCGAACGGGUGAGUAACACGUAAAGAAUCUGCCUCAUAGACUGGGACAACUAUUGGAAACGAUAGCUAAUACCGGAUAACAGCAUUAACUGCAUGGUUGAUGUUUAAAAGUUGGUUUUGCUAACACUAUGAGAUGGCUUUGCGGUGCAUUAGCUAGUUGGUGGGGUAAAGGCCUACCAAGGCGACGAUGCAUAGCCGACCUGAGAGGGUGAUCGGCCACACUGGGACUGAGACACGGCCCAGACUCCUACGGGAGGCAGCAGUAGGGAAUCUUCCGCAAUGGGCGAAAGCCUGACGGAGCAACGCCGCGUGAGUGAAGAAGGAUUUCGGUUCGUAAAGCUCUGUUGUUAGGGAAGAAUGAUUGUGUAGUAACUAUACACAGUAGAGACGGUACCUAACCAGAAAGCCACGGCUAACUACGUG